CGUCGCUGAAAUUGCUCCCCCCGUCCCCCGCACGAGAACCUGAUUUCUUCCGCCGCCUCGCCCCCUUCCCUCCGCCGCCGCCGUCCCUCCACUCUUCGGUGCCCGUCCUCGAUCCGGGGUCUCCAAAUUCGGACGAUAUUGGCAGGAUCCGCCACAUCUCCCGCGAAACCCAUCCGCGAGCUGCUCGUCGGCCAUGCGGGGAGCAUGGACGAGCUGCUCGUCGACGUCCAUCCCACACCCCCGUCGACGACGGUGCCCAGCCUCCUCGAUAGCGCGCCUCCUACUUGCCGCACGCCAGAUUUUAUAGUAGGGGAAGGAUGGAUACUGCAGGGCUUUCAUAUGUUUUUUUGAUUUUUGCGGAUAGGGCUUUCUUAUAUUCUGGCAAGAGUCAAGCUAGCAACCGUGAAGAUGCAGAAUUCAUGCAACCUCCAACCCUCAGCAAAGGGAAGAAGCCUCAGUUGGUAGCUAUGGAGGGGAGUGAUCCUUCGUUGGAUGAAAAAUUGGUGUAAAAAUUGGUUCUCCUCCCCCCGUGUCGCUGCCACCAUCGAUGCCGCAAGGACUUUUUUUCUUUUGCUCAAACCAGCAUAAACUAUUCAGAGUUUUAACAGAGAAAAUUGGUCCUGUGCUUCCUCAUGAAAUACAAGAAAAGCUCAAUUGUUUAGAGGAAGAGUACUUCAGGAGCCACUCUUCAGCCAUUAAGUCAUAUAUCUCAGAGCUGGAUAUAGAUUUAACAGUGGGCAUGGUACCCCCCAGGGAUCCUUAUAUCCAGGUUUGGGUGCUGGAGGACUUUGGUGAAGUAUCUCUUGGUGACCAUUCCAUAUCAUUGACCAAAAUUUGCUCCACUUCCUUAGGCGCACAGAUGCAAAACAAUUUAUAUCACAUGUUUGCUAUCUGUUACGCUAUAUUUUCCCACUCUGAAAUCUGAAUAUUUCCAGUGCGAAUAAUAUUCUGUUUAAUUUUAAUAGGGUCUCAUGGAAGAAUUUCUGGAUUAGGGAUCACAUAUGAUGUAAAAUAGUCUGGUGGAAUAUGCACUCUUGAGGUUCUGAUCGAGACUAUGCGAAAAAGGAAAGAACAUAUGCUAUCUUCAGGGUGAACCUCUGGACCUCUCAAAUUAGAAGUAACCAGGAGCUGCGCAAAUUGAUGAAGCUGAAGUAGCGCAGUUUGUAGGAGAAGUUGGCCCAGUUUGGCCCCGACCACAUUUUUUGGGACACAUUUUGGCCCCAACCACAUUCUUUUCCUCGGCCAAAGUCGAUUUGUUCUCUAGAAAGAAAAUACACAAUUAGCGGCAGCAGCUACUAGUCGCCUGAGCUUGGACAGAGGGUGCCGAUACUCCUUGUGCAUCUGGACCAUGAUCUAUCCUUCGAUGAUUGGCCAAAUUUUCAAAGUUUGCCUGUUGGUAAUCCGUCGUGAUCCAAACCAACGGACACAAAAGGAAGUCACUCAUAUUCAUCGUGAUGCUCACGUCGUGGGAGAUUUGGAACGAGUGGAAUGCCUGCGGUUUUCCGGAACAUUUACACCUUGCCAACAACGAUCUUCGCAAAGAUCAAGCGUGAGGCGGCAUGUUGGGGCAAAACACUUGAGAUGAUCAUGCCACGAGAGUAAUUCCUUGCAUAUUAUUGUGCCCUCGGGCAAGUGUUGUAAUCGUAAAUCUUAUUAGUGAAAUGAGGCAAAGCUUUUUACCAUAAUUAAAAAAAUUAUCAGCAGCAGCAGCAGCAUACCUGAACAACAGCCCUGAGGUGACCGGUCCUGUUGUAAUUGUCUUCCUCAAUGAUAACCUCCCCUGACAAAGGAAGAAAUGAGGCCAAGCUUUGACAUUUAUUUAAA